rnacentral:SRP_RNA from 1 species
GGCCGGGUCCCGCGCAAUGAGCGCCUGCGAACCUCGUCAGGUCCGGAAGGAAGCAGCGAUAAGGAGGAUAGCUUAUGUGCCGCGGAUUCUCCCGGUCCUG